rnacentral:misc_RNA from 1 species
UACGAGUGGUGCAAGCGUUAUUCGGAAUUAUUGGGCGUAAAGGGCGCGUAGGUGGCGUGUUAAGUCAACUGUUAAAUUCUCCGGCCCAACUGGAGAUCAGCGGUAGAAACUAGCAUGCUAGAGGAUGAGAGAGAGAAGUGGAAUUCUCGGAGUAGCGGUAAAAUGCGUAGAUAUCGAGAGGAACACCAAUGGCGAAGGCAGCUUCUUGGCUCAUUCCUGACACUGAGGCGCGAAAGCGUGGGGAGCAAACAGG